rnacentral:misc_RNA from 1 species
AUGUAUUUACACACACACGCUGNAACAAAGUCUCAUGNAAUGNAUACCGCGCUUAACGCAAUACAAUACAACUUUCAGCAACGGAUCUCUUGGCUCUCGCAUCGAUGAANAACGCA